rnacentral:rRNA from 1 species
ACAAUUAAGAGUUUGAUCCUUGCUCAGGAUAAACGCUAGCGGAGGGCUUAACACAUGCAAGUCGAGGGGCAGCAAAAAUAAUAUAUUAACUUAUGUAUUUUUGGCGACCGGCAAACGGGUGAGUAAUACGUACGUAACUUUCCUUAUGCUGAGGGAUAGCCUGAGGAAACUUGGAUUAAUACCUCAUAAUACAAUUUUUUAUAAAGAAAGAUUGUUAAAGUUUUAUUAUGGCAUAAGAUAGGCGUAUGCCCAAUUAGUUAGUUGGUAAGGUAAUGGCUUACCAAGACUAUGAUUGGUAGGGGGCCUGAGAGGGGCGUUCCCCCACAUUGGUACUGAGACACGGACCAAACUCCUACGGGAGGCAGCAGUGAGGAAUAUUGGUCAAUGGAGGAAACUCUGAACCAGCCACUCCGCGUGCAGGAUGAAAGCCUUAUUGGUUGUAAACUGCUUUUGUAUAUGAAUAAAAAAUUCUAAUUAUAGAAAUAAUUGAAGGUAAUAUACGAAUAAGUAUCAGCAAACUACGUGCCAGCAGCUGCGGUAAUACGUAGGAUACAAGCGUUAUCCGGAUUUAUUGGGUUUAAAGGGUGCGUAGGCGGUUUUUUAAGUCAGUAGUGAAAUCUUAAAGCUUAACUUUAAAAUUGCUAUUGAUACUGAAAAACUAGAGUUAGUUUGGAGUAGCUGGAAUGUGUGGUGUAGCGGUGAAAUGCGUAGAUAUCACACAGAACACCAAUAGCGAAAGCAAGUUACUAAGCCUAUACUGACGCUGAGGGCACGAAAGCAUGGGGAGCAAACAGGAUUAGAUACCCUGGUAGUCCAUGCUGUAAACGAUGAUCACUAACUAUUGGGUUUUGUACUUUUGUACUUUUGUACGUUGUAAUUCAGUGGUUAAGCGAAAGUGUUAAGUGAUCCACCUGAGGAGUACGACCGCAAGGUUGAAACUCAAAGGAAUUGACGGGGGCUCGCACAAUCGGUGGAGCAUGUGGUUUAAUUCGAUGAUACGCGAGGAACCUUACCAAGACUUAAAUGUACUACGAAUAAAUUGGAAACAAUUUAGUCUAGCGACGGAGUACAAGGUGCUGCAUGGUUGUCGUCAGCUCGUGCCGUGAGGUGUAAGGUUAAGUCCUUAAACGAGCGCAACCCUUAUUAUUAGUUGCCAUCGAGUAGUGUCGGGGACUCUAAUAAGACUGCCGGCGUAAGCCGAGAGGAAGGCGGGGACGACGUCAAAUCAUCACGGCCCUUACGUCUUGGGCCACACACGUGCUACAAUGAUCGGUACAAAAGGGAGCGACUGGGUGACCAGGAGCAAAUCUAGAAAGCCGAUCUCAGUUCGGAUUGGAGUCUGAAACUCGACUCUAUGAAGCUGGAAUCGAUAGUAAUCGUGCAUCAGCCAUGGCACGGUGAAUAUGUUCCCGGGCCUUGUACACACCGCCCGUCAAGCCAUGGAAGUUGGAAGUACCUAAAGUUGGUGUCCGUAAAAGGAGCUGCCUAAGGUAAGUCUAAUAACUGGGGCUAAGUCGUAACAAGGUAGCCGUACCGGAAGGUGCGGCUGGAACAUUUCUGUU